rnacentral:rRNA from 1 species
ACGGAAGGCAGCAGUGGGGAAUAUUGGGCAAUGGGCGCAAGCCUGACCCAGCAACGCCGCGUGAAGGAAGAAGGUUUUCGGAUUGUAAACUUCUGUCCUUGGUGACGAAGGAAGUGACGGUAGCCAAGGAGGAAGCCCCGGCUAACUACGUGCCAGCAGCCGCGGUAAUACGUAGGGGGCAAGCGUUAUCCGGAUUUACUGGGUGUAAAGGGAGCGUAGACGGUCUUGCAAGUCUGAUGUGAAAGGCAGGGGCUCAACUCCUGGACUGCAUUGGAAACUGUAAGUCUUGAGUGCCGGAGAGGUAAGCGGAAUUCCUAGUGUAGCGGUGAAAUGCGUAGAUAUUAGGAGGAACACCAGUGGCGAAGGCGGCUUACUGGACGGUAACUGACGUUGAGGCUCGAAAGCGUGGGGAGCAAACAGGAUUAGAUACCCUGGUA